AGAUGUGGGGGAAGCUGACCCUGGAGUUAACAGGCUCAGACCUUAAAGGGGGUAGUCUCACAGCAGGUUCACACCCAGCACUUCAGAGUUUCAGCAAGUAAGGCAACUGCAAGACCCUCAUUCUGCCGGGAAGCUUCUGAUUAGGGCCCUAAACCACCAUCCUUUUCACAUCUGCAAGGACACUAGAGGCAACACCCAGGGUCACUCUGAGAGGGCCUGAACCUGCUUUAUUAACAGGAUCGAGGGUCAGGACCGAAGUAAGUCGUGAUGCAGGAAAUGAGUGCGUUUCACAGCUUGCUGAGCCCCUACUCGACCCAGGAAGCCCAGCUGGCCCCUCCUCUCAACAGGAGUGAGAAUCAGGCCCUGUGGCUGCCUGGUGCCCUGGGAAUGGUCCGGUCAUGGGCCUCAGCCCAGGAUGAGCAGCCAACAAUGCAAUCCCACGAAGAGUGUGCGGAAGGGAGAGGUUACUUCUCAAGAUGGAGCUGCCAAAUAGGGACACUUUGGAGAGUCUGGCCUGAGAACUUUUAGUUUCAAGAAUGUAUUGCUUUGGAAAAGACAGAAUAAAAGUCCAAGCACUGCCA
rnacentral:lncRNA from 1 species